GUCCUAUUAGCUUAAUGGCAAAGCAAAAUACUUCUAAUAUUUAAAUUCAAGUUCAAAUCUUGAAUAGGAUU
rfam:Arthrobotrys oligospora ATCC 24927 unplaced genomic scaffold scaffold00048, whole genome shotgun sequence.